CAGUAGCCGCGGUAAUACAGAGGGUGCGAGCGUUAAUCGGAUUUACUGGGCGUAAAGCGUGCGUAGGCGGCUUUUUAAGUCGGAUGUGAAAUCCCUGAGCUUAACUUAGGAAUUGCAUUUGAUACUGGGAAGCUAGAGUAUGGGAGAGGAUGGUAGAAUUCCAGGUGUAGCGGUGAAAUGCGUAGAGAUCUGGAGGAAUACCGAUGGCGAAGGCAGCCAUCUGGCCUAAUACUGACGCUGAGGUACGAAAGCAUGGGGAGCAAACAGGAUUAGAUACCCCGGUAGUCCCUGUCUCUUAUAA
rnacentral:rRNA from 1 species